GGGAAUCUUGCAAUUGAUGUUGACGAAGCUUUAAUCUAUUAUGAUUUUGGUAUGAUGGGAGACAUCAAGAAUUUCACAAGAGAGAGGUUGCUGGGACUUUUUUAUUCUGUCUACGAAAAGGAUGCAAAAAAGGUUAUGCAAGGGCUUAUUGAUCUGGAAGCACUUCAGCCCACAGGAGACAUGUCAGCUGUGAGGAGAUCUGUUCAGUUUUUCUUGGACAACUUGUUGAACCAAAGACCAGAUCAGCAGCAAACUUUGGCUGCAAUUGGUGAGGAUUUGUUUGCUAUAGCAACUGAUCAACCAUUCCGUUUCCCUUCCACUUUUACAUUUGUGCUCAGGGCAUUUUCCACACUAGAAGGGAUUGGCUGUAUAUUGGAUCCUAAUUUCUCCUUCCCUAAGAUUGCAGCACCAUAUGCACAGGAGCUCUUGGACUUGAGACAGCAGCAGCGCAGUGGUCC
rnacentral:misc_RNA from 1 species